AUAUAGAUUUCGAGAAUUGCGAAAGCGCAACCACAUAACAGUAGUGAUUGAUUAAUAUAAAUAAAUAUGUAUGUUUUGUAUAUUGUGUACUGAAACGCUUUGUUUAUAGACAAUAAUCCACUUUCAUAUAGACCAAACAAUAAUAUUUUGUGUUUUUAAGUAAAAUAUUGAUUUGGAGAGAAAAAUUUGUAUUUACAGCGUAAAAUUGUAAUAAAAAAAAUCAUUUACACAAUUCAGUUGACUGUUGAUGAGUAAUAAAAUACGUACGUGCUGUUUGAAAAUUCUACAUAAACUAUGAAAGCAAUUAUUUUCAAAAUUUCUGCAAGAAUAAGUAUGUAUAAAGCAAUGAUGGACUACUUGAACUACCGAAAAAGCAAGAUAACCUAAAUUGAUAUUUUUUUACUUUAAUAUCAAUUGAUGCUCUUGUUGUAAGUGAUCUGGGGUUAUCAGUAGGUACUUAUUUCUUAUUUCCAGCAUAUAAUAUAUAACUAACAGUUCACAUAUUCAAUAAGCGGCAACCAAAAUGCAAAUCGAAAUGCAAAUGCACAUGUUUUUUGGGAUAGCUAAGUUAAGUAACAUUUCAAACCAGACCGGAUUAAAUUUCAAAAUAUUGCGGCUGCAUCACUAUCUAUUACAAUCAACUUUACGGAUGUUGGCUAUGCACCAAUGCAUGCAUAUGUGUAACUCAGCAUGUUGGAAAGUGUUGCAAUCGUUACACAUGCAACCAAAAAUACACAAUGGAAAAUAGAAACUACUAUGUUGUCGCGUGCGCAUUGAAGCGAUCGCUAUGGAUAUACAAUCUGCUGCAUAUUUGCAAUGAACAGCAAGAACAUUCAUUCAAUAAUUAUUGUUGUAGGUGCUACCGCUAGUCAUAUAUGUGUAGUGCAUUUUUCACCCCUUUUACGUGAAUCAUAAUAUGAAUUAAUUAAGGAAGGGCGCACGUCCAGGGGCCAAAGCGUAAUGACCAAACUGGUUGGCUGGUAGAAGAUAUUUACACACGCUGAAGCCAUGAAUUGCCUUUGUAAGUCCACGAAUAUUCCUGUUGUGGUGGUGAUCACUGACACCUGCUACCAAUUUUGCAGCAUUCAAUUUUUAAUGUGAAUAUUUUUUUUUAAAUAA